rnacentral:rRNA from 1 species
AACGAACGCUGGCGGCAUGCCUAACACAUGCAAGUCGAACGAGACCUUCGGGUCUAGUGGCGCACGGGUGCGUAACGCGUGGGAACCUGCCCUUAGGUUCGGAAUAACUCCCCGAAAGGGGUGCUAAUACCGGAUAAUGUCUUCGGACCAAAGAUUUAUCGCCUUUGGAUGGGCCCGCGUUGGAUUAGCUAGUUGGUAGGGUAAAAGCCUACCAAGGCGACGAUCGAUAGCUGGUCUGAGAGGGGGAUCGGCCACAUUGGGACUGAGAUACGGGCCAGACUCCUGCGGGAGGGAGCAGUGGGGAAGAGUGCAUAAUGGGCGGAAGCGUGAUGCAGCAUCGCCGCGUGCGGGAAGACGGCCUUUGGGGUGUAAACCGCUGUCGCCUGUGAAGAAGCGUGAGUGACGGUAAGGGGUAAAGAAGCACCGGCUAACUACGUG